rnacentral:misc_RNA from 1 species
GAAACGCGAUAGUUAAUGUGAAUUACAGAAUUCAGUGAAUCAUCGAGUCUUUGAACGCACAUUGCGCCCAUAGGUAUUCCUUUGGGCAUGUCUGUUUGAGCGUCAUUACAACCCUCAGCUAACCGCUGGUUUUGAACCUGAACGGGUGACACCGCGCCGGUUUUAAAGUUGUAAGCUCUGCUGGCCGCUCUGCCCAACCAGAACAUAGUAAGCACUACUUGUCCGGGUGAAGCUGAACGGUACGGCCUGAACAAAACCUACCCACUCUCAAGGUUUGACCUCAGAUCAGACAAGGAUACCCGCUGAACUUAAGC